UACGUAGGGGGCUAGCGUUGUCCGGAAUCAUUGGGCGUAAAGCGCGUGUAGGCGGUUCGGUAAGUCCGCUGUGAAAGUCAGGGGCUCAACCCUUGAAAGCCGGCCGAUACUGUCGGACUAGAGUCCGGAAGAGGCAAGUGGAAUUCCCGGUGUAGCGGUGAAAUGCGCAGAUAUCGGGAGGAACACCAAUGGCGAAGGCAGCUUGCUGGGACGGUACUGACGCUGAGGCGCGAAAGCGUGGGGAGCAAACAGG
rnacentral:rRNA from 1 species